UGGGGAAUUUUGGACAAUGGGCGCAAGCCUGAUCCAGCCAUGCCGCGUGAGUGAAGAAGGCCUUCGGGUUGUAAAGCUCUUUCGGCGGGGACGAAACGGUCCGUGACAACACCACGGACUAAUGACGGUACCCGCAGAAGAAGCACCGGCUAACUACGUGCCAGCAGCCGCGGUAAUACGUAGGGUGCAGGCGUUAAUCGGAAUUACUGGGCGUAAAGCGUGCGUAGGCGGUUUGUUAAGACAGGUGUGAAAUCCCCGGGCUUAACCUGGGAACUGCGCUUGUUACUGGCAGACUUGAGUGUGGCAGAGGGGGGUGGAAUUCCAGGUGUAGCAGUGAAAUGCGUAGAUAUCUGGAGGAACACCGAUGGCGAAGGCAGCCCCCUGGGCUAACACUGACGCUGAUGCACGAAAGCGUGGGGAGCAAAC
rnacentral:rRNA from 1 species